CACAGAGAUAGUGUUUAUAAAAUCUCAUGGACUUUACAGCCUCACACCAGAGUCACAAGGCUGUGACUCUGGUGUGAGGCUGUAAAAGUGUCCAGACAGAGCUCCAAACCAGAGCCAACACUUCCCAGGAAUGAAGACGAUUCAGCCCCACAUUGCUGCAGGAAGGACCGAAGUACAUGCAGCAGGGCACAAUCAGCAUUGGACAAACACCACAGCAGCUAGAGAAGAAUAGAAGCAUAACAACUGGAUCUACUGUGGAAGAUGUAUAUACCUCUACUGUAUGUUUUCCAGCAAAAUAAUCCAAUGGGGCCAAGAAUGAAGUCUUAACUGUCUUGAUGUGUCGUUCUGUUUUUACU